AGGUCUAUCGCCAAGCGGUAAGGCAACGGGUUUUGAUCCCGUCAUCCCAUGGUUCGAAUCCUGGCAGACCUGCCA
rnacentral:tRNA from 1 species